rnacentral:rRNA from 1 species
UACGAAGGGGGCUAGCGUUGCUCGGAAUCACUGGGCGUAAAGGGUGCGUAGGCGGGUCUUUAAGUCAGGGGUGAAAUCCUGGAGCUCAACUCCAGAACUGCCUUGAUACUGAAGAUCUUGAGUCCGGAAGAGGAGAGUGGAAUCCUGGUGUAGCGGUGAAAUGCGCAGAUAUCAGGAAGAACACCCGUGGCUAAGGCGGCUCUCUAGUACGGUACUGACGCUGAGACGCGAAAGC